UCAGCGCGGCAGGGUCCACGGCACUGCAUCGGGGGCAGCGUUGGAGUUGGAAAAGGGCUGCGUCGUGACCGCGGAGGGAACAACGCAAGUGAGCGGUGGAGGCGUUCCACUCCACAACCCUCCAACCCCGCCACUGCCAUCCAACCACGUCGGCGCCGAGGUCUACUACCUUCCCUACGUCACCGACGCCGAGUACUACACGACCGGUGGUAAGAAGAUAUCUGCCACCUCGAUCUACUUUGAGAGCCUGCCGAUGAGUGUCACCAAGGGGUACAUCAACUUGAUUUUCGUCCCAAGCUCAUCAUCCGCGGCGGCAGUGUGGUACUAGGACUACGCCAGGCUUAGGGCAGUCACCGGCAAGGGCGGGCCUUGCUACUCUACAACAUGACUCGUUGCUGGAUAGUCUGAUCCUCGUGUUAAAGAGAAGGUAUUAGUGCUGAUAGGUACAUGGCAAGAUGUGUUUGGGGCCACAUGCAAGAUAUCCACAAUACUAUGCAGCAUACCAUGUUAUCUUGGUCGAUGUCUCGGUUGUUGAAGUAAGUACAUCCUAAAUCUCGGUAUGAAUUUGGCAGGGUAAGUUCUUUCCUUUCUUAGUUUGUUUGCUAUUUCUUUUUAUAUCUGUAUGACUCCUAUAAAGCAAGGGAUUGGUCCUGGUGUCAUUUAGGAAUCUCCGUUGCCAAAUUCAUACUAUCUAAGCUAUCUUUGUUGCCAAAUUCAUACUACUGGUGUCAUCUGCUAUCUUCGUUGCCAAAUUUAUACUGCACAAUGAGCCAAAUUUAACAACAAUAAACAUAGCCCACAAUGUAGACGACACUUGGCUAUCACGUUCGUUCGUCUCACUACAGAAGGAGUGGGCGCAGUUUUCAUUUUUUCACUAAGAAAAUGUGAUGCUUGUUAGAUUUGGAUAAGAAACCUUUUGUUUUACAAUAUAAUUCACUAAUUGUACUGGCCGAUAUUCGAUUGUUUUUUGGUUCAAUAUUAGAUGUUCAGCAACAUGUUUUUUUUGCUUAACCAAAUAAUAAUGUUGCAAAAGUACUAAGGUCAGCUUGUUUAUUGUUGUUGAUGUGCCCGCACAAAUACACAUUUAUGAGGAAUACUAUUAGUAUUUUCCAUGUUCUUUUAGGUUGUUGAUUCAGUCGUGAGGGUCCUCAAUUAAGGUCGAAUGGAUGCAAUCAAAACUAGAAGGGUGUGCGCCAUCGAGGAUCACUGCAGCUAAGGCAAUCGUGAAGGAUGGAAUCGUUGUUAUGGGGCAUGUUGGCCUCACACCGCAAGCUAUUACUGUGCUCGGUGGAUUUAGGCCUCAAGGGAAAACGGUUGACAGUGUUGUAAAGGUUGUGGAGACAACACUUGCCAUGAAGGAGACUGGAUGCUUCUCUGUUGUGUAUUAGUUGUUGGCAAAUAAUUUAUAAGAUAUUGAGAUCGAAGACAAUAUAUAAAUUUUCAUCUAGGCAGUGUUCAAAUUAUCGCCAACCUUUGGCACGCCGCGCGAUCGGGAUUGUAGG